GAUGAACGCUGGCGGCGUGCCUAAUACAUGCAAGUCGAGCGAACGGACGAGAAGCUUGCUUCUCUGAUGUUAGCGGCGGACGGGUGAGUAACACGUGGAUAACCUACCUAUAAGACUGGGAUAACUUCGGGAAACCGUAGCUAAUACCGGAGAAUAUUUUGAACCGCAUGGUUCAAAAGUGAAAGACGGUCUUGCUGGCACUUAUAGAUGGAUCCGCGCUGCAUUAGCUAGUUGGUAAGGUAACGGCUUACCAAGGCAACGAUGCAUAGCCGACCUGAGAGGGUGAUCGGCCACACUGGAACUGAGACACGGUCCAGACUCCUACGGGAGGCAGCAGUAGGGAAUCUUCCGCAAUGGGCGAAAGCCUGACGGAGCAACGCCGCGUGAGUGAUGAAGGUCUUCGGAUCGUAAAACUCUGUUAUUAGGGAAGAACAUAUGUGUAAGUAACUGUGCACAUCUUGACGGUACCUAAUCAGAAAGCCACGGCUAACUACGUG
rnacentral:rRNA from 1 species